AAGGUCAUCUCCGGCGCCAGUCUAGUUGCCAUAGUGAUACCAGCGGCUUGCUCCAAGUUAUUUCCUUGCGCGGCUUAAACGAGAGUCUGAAAUGAUUUAUUUUAGUCGGCGUGCGCUUGAGAGAAUUUAUAUGUUUAUACUAUUGGGCAUUGUGCUUAUUUCCUGGGGAUUUGUUAUUUAUGCUACAAGAACAGCUGCAAAAUGGCAACUUGAACUUGAUUUUAAGACCAAUCUUAAUUCCUAAUUGCUUUUUCCAAGAGGAUUUUAACAAUAUGGUCAAAGAAACGGAAACACCUAGCUGCUUUUGUGGAUGCCUGCUAUGUGUGAAUUUCUUGCACCUUUCAUUGCAUUACCAAUGGAAAAAGAAACUGCAACUGGUAGAAAGAGCCCAUUUCACUUCAGAUUGUGAAUUACAGUAAACAGAACGUUAAUGUAA